rnacentral:lncRNA from 1 species
AAACAGGCUAAGUAGGCCAUUUAUUAAAAAUAAAAUAAGUCUACAAUCCCUGGUCCAGGCCCAAGAUCGGCCCAGACCCAAGAAAAUCAAUCAAAAUCAACAAAAAAGAAAUAGGAAAGAGAAGGAAAAUCAGACACAAAAAUAAACCCAAAUAGGACACCGAACAUCUUAUCCUCUCCAUUGUCAUUUAAUCUUCAUCCUUACAUCCUCCAAAACAAUGAUAGAGCUCCCAAUUCUGAUGAGUUGAGCAAUGGGAAGACCAGCGUGGAUUUCACGCCAUCAUCAAUUUUGUCAACCUUUCAACUCUAAGUAAGCUCGGAUAGAUUCACUAAGAGCACUUCAAAUUCUCACAAGCACCAUGAAUCGAUCCAAGUAAAGGCUUCUUCAACUUGACCUUCUUGAAAGUAUAAACAAAAUCAAUAGUGGGAAGUACACCCUCUUCAUUGUCGACACCUCAACCACAGAUCGAACUUACUUAUAUCCCUCAUGAAUUAGUAGGUUGAGUUCCAAAUGGAGCUCUGCUGUUCAAGGACUCGAUCUAUUAGAUUUAUUGCUCUGUAGUUGAAAGUGAUGAUAAACUCUUGAUAUGAUGCUUUACUGUCCACGUGUAGUCCAGGGGCUUUACAUUGUAUUGUUGUGUUGUGAUGUUAUCAUUAUUGUCUCUCGUUAACCUGUUGUUGAAUUGUUGUUGUUUUAUUGUUACUGUUGUUGUCUUUGUUCAUGUACUUUUUUUUUGCCUUCCAUAUUUCCUAUUUUAACAUUUUUAUGUGCAAAUUAGGGAUUUGGUCUCUGCCAUCCUUAUAAUUAUUUUUUCUGCAUUUGGUACUUCCUGAAUAUCAUUGAAAAUCAGUAUACUUGUACCUGCAAAAAAAAAAUAAGGUUAGAAAAAAAAUCCUCUAGGGAGUUCCCUUCUCUUAGUGUGUGAACCACCUUCAUCAUCCCUUCAACAUCCUUUAUUAUUCCGAGGUGUUUCCUAACUCUUGUCAAUAAUCUUUUGUAGACACAGAGAAUAAGUUUCAAGUAUCACAGGUAGAAAGUUAUGUUCAACACAAUAUUCUAAACCAUAUCACAGAACCACAACUUUAGCUUGUAGGACAGUCCUUCAUCUAACACUUUACUCUCUGCAUACCUGAAAUUUCCACCAGAAUCCCUAAUACAAAAGCAAUAGAACUAGUGUCAGGGUUACCCUUGCAAACACCAUUUAAAUUGCAUUUAUUAAAAUCGUUAGGGUUUGGAUUCCGUUUGAUGACUUUACACAUAACAAUAGGGGUAUAUUAUUCAAAGUAUUUCACCACUAGGGGUCAGCUAUCACGGAUGCUUUCCAACCAGGGUAAAUAGAAAUAGAAAAUAAAUGCAGAUAUUUAUUAAUUUCUCUGCUCAUAGUAAUAAAUGGCAUUUUACCUCCAUGAUGGAUUGAAUUUCUUCUUUUUUAAAUCUGCCACACCACUAUAGUUGGUACUACCUUGAACAAAGGCUUCAAUUUUAGAGGGCAUUCAGCUUGCCACCUUUUAAAAAUGGUGUUCUUAAGUUGAGCAAAAUGGACCCUCCAGACCAGUUGGAUUAGCACAGAUGUGCCAUGCCUUUUUAGAGUUAAGGGCACCUUUUAAAUAGGUGUUCAAAGAUUGUGUUUCUAUCACUUUCUGUGAACCAUUGAAUACCAACAUUCUGUCUCUAGAACACUUCCUCAAAUUGGAGAUAUUUUUUAAAUUCGGCUUGAGCCCUCUGUAGCACCAUUCUAUUUUCAGCAAGUGAAUAAUUUUCAAAGAUAUCUUCUUUAAUCCUCAAAAUCUCUACCCUGAUAAUCAAUUAUUUAAAAAUAUCAACAAACCUUUCCUUACUCCAUUUAGAUAGAGCAAGUUUUGUGCUUUUUAUAUUUUGCUUUAGGUUGGUAAAUACAUCUACAAUAUCUGUAGCUCUUAAAUUUUCAUGAACAUCCUGUUUAAAAUCAAAAUCUUCAGUCUAGAACUUAAAAAAUCUAAAGGGCUUAGCCACUUCUUUAGACUGUCCUCCAUAAGAAAACAGUAAGAGGACAUGUCCAGAGCCUGUUAUGGCUAAGUGCUCCACCUUUACAUUCCCAAACAUGCCAAGCCACUCAUGACAUACUUCCUCAUUUGAUAUUUUAACUAUUUGGGAUAUCACGAUUGUCGUGACCCUAUUGAUCAAUUCCAAAUGAAAGUGUUGGAAGUACGGCAAUUUAUUGAUAUGUUAGGCGUCUAAUGACUAUUUAUAUUUUCUAACCCAAGUUUUUCACUUGAAAACUGGGUCAAUGCUCACUCUAUAUACCUAGGAUAGAGCAAAACUAAACCCCUUUUUUAGGCAUAAGCCUAGGAUGCUCCAAUAUCUGUGGGGGUAAUUGGGCCCAUUAGAAAGACUUACCCUAUGUCUAUUGACCAUAAGUCAAUCACAGAUGAAUCAUAUUUGUAUGUUGAAGGAACUAUAUGCUGAUUAAUCUAAUCUAUUAUCAUUGGGGUGUAGGGGUGGCGAGACUCACCUUACUUGUUUUUGUGAAGGUAUGAAUUAACCAAUUGCCAUAAGAAUAUUCAAGAUAAUGUCCAAGCCAGAUAAUUACUCCAAGAAUUAGCGAAAGUAUAUGAGUAUGAACGUCAAGAAAAUCCGUAUAACGCAUAUAGGAUAUUUCCCUUCCCUAAUCGAUAUGAAAGUUACAAUUAUAUGGAAGACACUUGAUCACCAACCAAUAUCGCAUGUGAUAUAAAGUCCAAAUAUUGGUACAUCUCACAAAAAUAAGUAUAAUUCCAAACAAUCACAAUCACAAUAAGAAUAAACAAUCAUACUUGUACAGUCAACAAGCUUUGUAACCUCAUCAGAUGUGAUUAACACUUAAGAUAUCAUUUUGCAAUUAUAUUCCUUAAGUAUUUAUUGCAACAAUAGACAACCACUCAAUUACUUGGUCAACUCGAGUUAAUCAAUUCAUGUAAAUAAGUAUCGUACUUAUCACACUAAAUCACAAGUAGAUAUGAAUUUUUUCAUCAAUUAUAGCAUGUUCAAACACCAAUCCCCGGCUUCUUCAGAUAAGAAUUAUCAAACCAUAUUUAUUAAAUUCAACUAGUCAUUCUAGGAGUGCAGGUUCAACCAAAUAGAGUCUAAAAUCUAGUAAUUUAUUCAUUAAUCUAAUCCACAUUUAUUCAUAUCAAAACUAGAGAUUCUGCUAUUAUCUAGCAACCCUUAUAUUCAAGUCACUACUAGGUUUAUGACUUACUCCAUUAGCCAAUCAUUCGAUUCUAUUCAACUUACAGUCUAGUUUUAGUCAUACACCUUUAUAUCUUUUACUUUCUAACCCUUAGUAUAACUUGACUUUAGGCUCUUAAUUUAUGUCACCACCUCCUCAUGCCAUAAUCGUUUCUCAUUACUAACUUUAAGAAAGACUAUCCCAUAUUCCAAUCUAAAUAAUAUCAAAUUCACCCUCUUUAUGGUAUUUAGGCCGAAUCCCUAGAUUUAUAAGCUCAUUAAUUUGCCUUAUCAUCAUUUAUAUGCACAUAAUUCACAUUACAAUCUACCAUGAAGUUAUUCAAACACACAACACUUAUCAAGGACUCAUACACAACAUAAUAAUACAUAAUUAAGCCUAUAUUAUAUUAAAUUCAUGUUUAAUCCACCCAAGUUAUAUGCUCACAUACCUAAGAAUGAUUUCUCCCAUCAAAUAUACAUUAUAGAUAAGAUUACUAACAACACUCUACUACUCAUAAAUCACAGCCUACGUAGAAGCCAAGUUGCUGCAAUAAGUAAGUUAUGUAUGAUCUUCCUUCUUCUGUUUCCUAAGGACAAAUCAUCUAAUAAUUAUAAUUAUAAGAGUAGUCAAUAAAAUACUCUUCCAAUAGAUAUCUUGGAAAUUCAAGUCUAUUAAUUCUACCCUUAUUUACGAUCUACAACAUUACCUAAAGGUCAAUUAGUCAUCAACAUAGUUCCUUCAAGCUCUACCCAACUCAAUUAGUGGAUUUUGUAGGCUAAAGCUUCCACUUUUAUAAAAUUCAAGGUCCUCAACUAUCAACUUUCAUGCUUUAGAAUCACUAAUUCAUGCUAGGGAUUGUUAAUUAACAAUUUAGAAGUGAUUCUAGGCGGUAUUAAUCCAACCCAUAGGUUUUCCCCAAAAUAUCAUGAACUUAAGGUUCAAAUUCGCAAGAAUUUUACCUUUAAAGGUUGUUCUAAUGAUUCUAUAAUGUUAAAGGAUCAAAAAUGAAAAAGAUGACAUAAGAAAUUUACCUCAACGAAGAAUUUUAAUCAUAGCAAGAGAAAAUCGCAGCUCUAGGGAUUGGGAAUAAAAUUUUGGGGUUUAAGGGUUGAAACCCAUCAAAAAUGGGUUAUAAACUGUUAUGCAUGUCUCUAUAGCAACCAUACGCGCUAUAGCAACAUCUCUAUAGCGACCUGACCCGCUACAACACCCUCAACUUUUAGCACGAACAAUCUUAAAUAAAAUGGUCAUAACCUUUUACUAAGAAAGUGGAUUAAAAAAUAAUCAGUUGCAUUGGAAAGAAGACUCAGGAAUAUUUAAUUUGGUGAGUAUUGGCCCCCCUAACUCAUUAUAUUCUAGGAGGAAUGCUCAUUUGAAGUUGACCCUAGUUUAAACUUAUUUCGAAACUAAAUCAAGGGAUACUUUCAACUUAACUUUAUGCUAGGAGUAUUGUAUGACCUUAGUACAUAUCAAAUGUAUCCCAAUACUAAAUAAUUGAUCCUAACACAUGCUAUGAAUGAGAUUCAUAUUCCUUUGCCACAUAUUUUUUCAGUAAAUGACAGAAUUGAUUGUCACAUUAAAUCUUCCUUCUACCCUAAUUUUCUUUAAUUUUUUUCUAGGUUGUUUCUUCCAUUCUUGGAUCUUCGAGCAUUGGAAAGUGUGGGAAAUAGUCCAUUGAGGCUAAGGUAAGAUAUCCAACACCUCUUAAUCAUUUUUCAUUAUUUUUCUCUACCAAAUUCUAUUCUUUUCCUUAUAAAUUUUUAAAAGUUAGUCUUUAAUUCCUCAACUUUGUGGGUUGAUUUGAGCCUGGAUUUACUCUCCGUUUGUGCUUAAAUUUUGAUGUACACAUUCUUUUUCCUUCAAGGGACCUCAUAAUGGAUUCAAUUUGAGAUUUUGUAGCGUACCUACGAGCCUAUUUUUGAAUCGUUUAGGUCUUGAUUUUUAUAUUACAAUAUAGGUAACAUUUUACUCGUAUUAACAUCUAGAUGAUGAUUUUGAUUAUGUUAUAAUAUUCUGUGAUCAUAGAGGAAAGACGAGUAGUUCGUGGAUGGUUCAAUGUUAUGAUUUGACUACGAGGUAGGUUACGAUUUAUUAUUCUCUUAAGAUUGUGUAUUUUAUAGAUUACAUGUUAGGUAGGAUUAAUAGGAUAGGUUUAUACCUAGUUGUACCAUGACUUGACCUAUUUAGGGGAUAUAGCUUAGAAAAGGGAACUGAGCCUUAUCCUAGAAUUCCAGCUAUAGUUAUGGGACUCUAGUAUGCCUGAUUAUAGAUUGGUUUUACCCUAGGUAGAUAUAAAGACCCCUUAGUAUGCAUCAUAUUGUGAUACUUGGCGGAUUAGGCGAUGUCUCUCACUUAGAUCCUCUUGGCAACUUGAUAGUUGUAUUAAUUUAUUCUUUCAUAAUUAUAAUGUUGUUGUCCUGGUAUAUUGUAUAUUGUUAAAACCAAGGUCGUGGUUACAGUACAAGAUGGACACUAGGUUAGUUCUCUACCCCUUGAUAGGAAGUGGUUCUAAUUUAUAGAUGCUUAUAUCUAUAUUUUGGACAAUGGUGAUGAUAUGCAUAUAUUUAGGUGCACUUGCAUUUAUUUAAUGGUACGAUUCCAACUAAAAUUGUAAUUUUACUAUUGUUUUUUUAAAAAAGAUUUAUUCCUACUUUGAACUCUUAAAUUGAUACUUCUAAAAUGGAAGUCGAACCACCCUUAUUAUUGGACUAUGGCAUUUUAAACUAAACGUACUUCCUUGAAGACUUAGACUGAGGUUGUUUCCAGUCCAUUUCUUGAUCUACUCUUCUUACCACUACUUACUCACUUCAAUCAGGGAGAUUCCGACCCUUUCUACAUUAUUAUACUGUUUCAGUCUUGAAUUCAAUCUCAGACAAUGGAUUUACAUAGUCAGACUCAUUUAGUAUUAGUUUGAGUUCGAUCACUCUUUUUACUUUUUUUCCCUCCGAUACUAGAUAGAGUGGUUUGGACAUGGAUUAUGAAAUUCCUGAUUCAAUAGCAGACAAUAUAAAUAGAUAUCUCAAAUCCUCUAUAGGACCCUUCGUUCGAUGAACCACAGUAAUAGAGAAGGGUGGUUGUCGUAAGUCCUGCCUUUGCGAGUUACUGAGCUGAAGGAGGUGUAUACACUUGGUAUGUUAUGUAACUAGUGUUGGAUAGGAUACUUGGAUCAUCUCCCUGACUCUCUUCAUAACUUACGUUCAUUCAUAUGCAUCGCCUAUCACUAGUAUAAUUAUUUGGAGUUUGUAUUUAUCAGUCUUAUUGGGAGGUUGUAUAGGUGCAAGUUAUAGUUGUUGUUUGUUGAGUGUCUGAUUGUACCUUUUGGGAUUGUGGGGACUCGAUUAGGUUAUUGUUUAUCCAGGCUAGCCAGUUAGAUUAUUAUUGUCUUAUAUUAUUAUAUGAUUCAUGACAGACUGGUUAUGGAUUAGUUCUUGAGACUAUGGGUACACUUCUGAGUUCCUUUACUCCCUAUUAUGGUAAGAUUUAGUAUUGUUAGAUUAUUUUAUGAUUAUUUACUUCAAGUAGAGAUCUUGAUUAUGCUAGAGAUAACUCUCAUAUCACUUAUGAUCCUUGAGAUAUUAGACAAGCCCUCUCAAAGUAUCUUCAAAUUUGGUUGUUGGUAUAGCGUUGAUAUAAAUCUAUAUAUACUCUCUUUAGCCAUGAUUUGUAUAUUAUUUCAUUCUUUUCUACUACUAUUAUACAUUGUAUAUACAUUUAUUCAUUCUUACUAUUGUAUAAGGUAUAUCUCUUCCUUCACUUUACUGUUGUAUAUUGACUAGAUACUUAUGGUAUCGUGCUUGUCCCAGAUUGUAGGUAGUUCAUGGUAAGUUUCCAUGAUAGGUUAUCUUUAUCUCUUUAUUAGUAUUAUUAUGCUUAACUUUAUAGAUAGAUGCAUGUACUUUCUAGUCAUGCCUUACAUAUUUGCAUUAUCCUUAGAGAUCAGUCGAUCGAUGCUUACUGAGUACCACAUGUUUGGAACUCAAAUUAUACUUUUGUAGCCUGUAGAUCAUCGUAUGAGUUCUUGCCGGUGAUUUAUGCAUCAUGUAAAAGCCAUGGAUCAGAUAUUAGGGAUGGGAUGAGCUCCUGAUUGAUGUCCGAAGCGCACCUGCUCUCUCUCUUAUUGUUGGACUGAUCUUUAUUUUGCAUUUCAGAGAGAGUUUUCUCUCUCCCCCCCCCUUCCCCCCCUCCCCCCCUCUCUCUAUAUAUGUGUGUGUACUAUGUGUACUUCGUACUCCUGUUGUAUUAGAAGCUCUUGUACUAACUUUACCAGGUUUUGGAUAUAUAUUUACUUCUUUUUGCAAACUUUUUCUUUUGUUUAGUUUUGCUUUCGCUUUUCUUAUUAGUCUGUUAUUAGCUAUUUUGAACUACGAGUUUGUUUACCUAUUGGCAGGCUAUGAUAGAUGCCAUCAUGACCUGAAAAAUUGGAUCGUGACAUUUUAUACGAGAAAAUAGUUCAAUUUUUCUAGCAGAAGCGAAGUGCGAGUAUAAGGUUAUCUUACUGUUGGAUAUUUUCCAAUUUUGCUCUAAUUCAAAGUUCAUAACAAGUUCCUAAUUUUAAAAAAUUAUUAUUAUUCAAAAAUUUAUUGUUGGACUGAUUUAAAAUCUUUCAUACAUCCUUCUUUGUAAUAAAUGUUUAUUCAUUUAAAUAUGUGUUCAUUACAUAUACAUUACAAAACUAUUUAUACAAUAUUAAUACACAUUUAUAUAUCAUUUAUACAAUAUACACACACACAAGUUUAUAUAUAUAUAUAUAUAUAUAUAUAUAUAUACGCGCACACACACACAUACAUACAUGUAUACAUUAUUUAUACAAUAUUGAUACAUUACAUAACUUUUAUACAAUAUCGAUAUGUUAUAUUAAUAUACAUUUAUACAUUAUUUAUGUAAUAUUGAUACACAUUUAUACACUAUUUAUGCAAUAUUGAUACACAUUUAUACAAUAUCGAUAAAUAAUAUAACUUUUAUACAGUACUGAAACAUGUUUAUAGACUAUUUAUACACUAUCUAUAUAUGUUUAUAUACCAUUUAUAAUAAGUUAUAUUUGUAAUUUUUAAUUACCCACACAACUGGCAAAAUAAAAUAAGGAAAAAUUAUGCUACAUAGUAAACAUUAGUCUGUAAUAUUCUAUGUAGUCAAUGUUUAAAAUAAGGGAAAAUUUCAAAAGUAGCAACUAUAGAGCCUUAAUUAUAACUUUUAUAGUAACAGUUUCAAAAUUAUGAAAAAUAGUAAUAUGUAUUUUGUAUUUGAGUAAAAUGUUGCUAUAUAAAGACAUAUACAAAUAUAGAAUCCGUUCCUAAUUUAACUCUAAUCAGUUAGAGUUAAAUAAGGUAAGAAACUGUUUCUUAAUUUAUGGUACAUUUAAUUAUAUCGAUUCCUUAAUUCAUGGUAUCUAUUUAAUUUUAUAGAUUCCUUUUCCUUAUAUGACUCUUUUUUAACAUCUGUCAUUAUUUUACAGUUACUUUUUUCAAAAUUCAAAAUCGUUUUCCAUGAUCAGCAACCCAAAACAAAUCCAAAAAAAUCAGAUUGAAGUUGAAGAGCUUCUAAAUUUUUUUUAAAAAAAGCACUGCAAUUACAGGUAUUAAAAAAUGAAUUUGAUUUGUGUAUUUGAAUUUCAUCAAAUUUUGUGCGUAAUGUUUGAUUAGCGUCUAAAUUUAAAAAGAAAAAAAUCAACACUGUGAUUAUAUAUGAAUUUCAUCAAAUUUAGCAGCCGUUAUUUUCUGCUAAUCCACAUACAAACUAAAAUUUGAGUUCGGAUAUGAACUCAAAUUGUUUUCUGCGAAUCCAUACACUAUAAUUCAAAAUUUGAGUUCGCAUAUGAUUUUCAUAAAAUUUAGUAGUCAUUGUUUUCUGCAAAUCCAUAUGCGAACUCAACUUUUAGUUCGUAUAUGAAUUCAAAUUGUUUUUGUGAAUCCAUACAAUAUAAUUCAAAAUUUGAGUUCGUGUAUGAAUUUCAUCAAAUUUAGCAGUCAUUAUUUUCUGUGAAAUACUUUUUUCCAACAUAUCCGUACAAAUUUGAAUGUUAUUCGUAUUUGUUAAAAAAAUUAAUUUUAAUUGAUAUGUGUUUAGCAGUUUCAUUUUUUUCCAGAUCGUAUUUAUAUAUUCAUAAUUUUUUCUGAUUGUGUUUGACAUGAACUUAAUGAUAACUUAUGAGUUUAUCUCAAUCAGAUUAUUUGAGUUUAAUUAUAUGUUAUUGUUGCAUUUGUAUUAUUGAUAAAAAAUCAUUGUAUUUUGUUUUGACAAUUGUAUAUUUUAUUUAUUUUACAAAUUUGAAAAAAAUGAAAUAGUAUGUAUUUAAUAAUUUCACUGUUAUACAAAAAAAUUACAUUUCACUGUUAUAUAGAUUUAGCUAUAUGUAUAUAUAAUAUACAUAUGCAGUAUGUAUAUGCGGUCAACUGACAUGUCCUUUAACGUGUAUAAAACAUGUGUGUGUAUUGAACUACCAUUCAUGAAAAAAAUACAUAUAGUAUAAUACUAGUUGCGUAAGGCCCAUGCUAAGCCCGGGCCCAACUUCACAUUUUUAUAUUUUACAAACAAUAUAAAUUAACUCACAUUUUUUCUAUUACAUAAUUAAUUUAAUUUAUUGAUACAUUGAUUAUGUCUUGUUUGGUAAGUCAUAUGAUUAUUAAUGUUUUUUCAUUAUAUAAUUGAAUAACUUUUAAAUGACUUUAUUUAUGAGGAAGGAAGUAUGAAAGAGAAUUAACAAAUACGGAUCAACGUAGAAUUCAAUUUAAAACGAAUAAAUGGUGUGUUCAACAUGUUUUAUUUUAUUUUUUUUCAUAUUUGACUGGUUAGAUUUUUGAAAAAAAAAAAUAUUUUCUCUAGAAAAAUAAAUCUUUUUAGACUUAUGAAAAUGAAAAUGACUUUGUGAAAAUAGAAAAAUUAUAUUCCGCAUGUUACAUUUAUUGAUCCCUUCGUUCUUCAAUACACCUUCUUUUCACUCUUAGCAUUAGAUUUCAUCUCCAUCACCCCUUAUCCCACCUCUCAUAGUACUUAUCUAAAUUGCAUAGAAAUAAUUUUUAAAUAAUACUUUAUUACUGAAUAUAAAUCUCUCUUGAUUUACUAAAAUACAACAACAACAACAACAACAACAAUAAAUAUUACUAAAAUAAUAAGUAAAAAAUAGUCAAGCAAAAUGAAAAAGAGAGAUAAAAGGAUAUUCUCUCAAUUCCUUUUUACUUGUUUCUUUGACUUGACAAAUAACUUAAGAAUCAAAUAUAUUGAGAGUAAAGUAUACAAAAUUAUCUUUAUUAUUUAUGUUUUAAAAAUUAAAUUUGGCUUUUAAUACUUUCUGUAAUUACUAAAUAAAAUAAUAAUAAUAAUAAUAAUAAUAAUAAUAUAGAAAAAAGUUAUAAGUCUUUUGUGAUUUUCUAAAAUAAAUAAGUAAGAAAAAUAAUUAAUUUUUAAUAUAAGAAGUAAGAAAAAAAACAAGUAAUUCACAAGGAACAAGAAGAGAUUUAUUAAAAUUACUACUAUGUAUAAUUCAGUUAUAAAUAUAUAAAUAAAAAUAUCAUGAAAUGAUAAAUGAGGACAAAUGUAAUAAUAGGGAUGGAAAAAAUAAUAAACAUGUGUUACUAUCUAAUUGCCCUAAAAACUUUGUGAAGACUACCAAAAUAUGUUAUUCUCCCUUAUAUAUAAGUAUAAUGUAUUAGCAAUCAUAAUUUAUUCUAUAAAUGUAUAAGAUCAACAUUUUAACUAAAUUUUUAUAUGUGAAACAUAUUUAAUUAUUGUAAUGUGUCAUAUACAUUUUCUUACUAUAUUAAAUGAGAUCGUUUGUCUACCGUUCAGAUUAUUCAUUUAUAUGUAUUUAUUUACAUAUGCUGGACAUAUAUUUUCUUUGGCAUAUGGUGUGCUUGAUUCAGAAAAUGAUGUAUCUUGAAUUUGAUUCUUUGAAAAUCUGAAGGAGGCAUAAAGUGAAAGAAAACACAUGUGUGUUAUUUUUUAUUGUAAUGAAAGCAUCAUAAAAGUUGUUGGUGAUGGGUACAAAGAUGUACCAAUUUAUGCAUGUAUAUGGCAUCUAUGAAAAAACGUGAAAAAAAUUAUAGAAAGUCACAUGAUGUAUUAUCGGAGAUGUAUUUGAAGUCAUAUGUUUCAUGUAUUUGAAUUUGUUUACUCUUAAAAUUAUUGCAUUUACUUACUGAACUUGCAAGUUAUUUUAGUUCAUUAUGAAUAAAUAAAUGUAAUUGAUUCUAAUUAAAUAUAUUGAUACAAAUAUAUAUAUGUAUUUUUAGUUUUAUUAUGUAUAGUUCUACGUAAACGACAUAUGCAAACAUUAAUAAUCUAAAAAAUAACAUAUAGAGACCUAUACAAUACAUAUGCACAUAUGUAAGGACCCAAGUAUAACUGAAAAUACAUAUGCAUAUUUAUGAAUACAUAUUCAGUCAUACAAAUUCAUACGCAGAACCAGAAAAUACAUAUACAUCCAUAUAAAUACAUAUGCAUAACUAAAAAAAUACAUAUGCAUAACUGCAUAUGUCUAACAAAAAUAAAAAACUAAUCAAAAAACAUAAAACUAACCACGAAACAUUUAAUGUAAGUUGAUUUAACAUCAAUAAUCAAAAUUUGUACAUCUAUAUAUGUACAACCAAUGGAUAUUAAGCAUAAAACAAAAAUUGAAAAUAUUAUUUUAAAUUUUCAACAUCAUUAUAUUUGUAAUCAAUAAAUGUACCGACAGAAUCAAUAAAAAAAAUACAAUAACUUGGAAUAUACAUAUAUAAAUCUAAAAAUACAUAUUUGUAUUUUUAGUUUUAUAUAUGGAUAGUUCUACGUAAACUACAUAUGCAAACAUUAAAAAUAUGAAAAAAUACAUAUAAAGAACUAUAAAUUACAUGUGCACGUUUUUAAAAAUCUUAAGCUUAACUGAAAAUACAUAUGCAUAUCUAUAAUUACAUAUUCAGUCAUAUAAAUACAUAUGCAAAAAUAUAAAAUACAUAUGCAUCCUUAUAAAUACAUAUGCAUAUCUGGAAAAAUACAUAUGCAUAACUGCAUAUGUCUAACAGAAACAUAAAACUAAGAACGAAACAUUCAAUUUAAGUUGAUUCAACACCAAUAAUCAAAAUAUAAUUGUCAAGUUCUACAAUACUUUCAACAUUCAACAUGAAAGUAAUACGCGAAACUUAAGAACUAUUAAAAUACGUCUUUGUCCAUCUAAAGUUAACUGUCAUCAAAAAUAAAAUAUUAAAAAGUAAACAUUAAAUUUCAUGAACUUCAGUGUCUUCUGUUAUCCCAAUUUCCCUAGGAGGCCUCAAUGGUGCUUUAUCAUCACUUUGUGUCUUAUCUUUUUCUUUUCUCGAAAGAUAAUCCCACAAAAGUAAAGCAUAUCUUAUGCAAAGAAGGUCUGAAUCAAAGAGAACAUAAGGAACACCUUCACCAUAAGUAAGGAUCUCAACAUAUACGACCAUAUGCAAUCCACAGUCUCUGCAAAUACAUUUAGUAAUAAAAUUCUGUUAAAAAAUAAAUACAUAUUGUUAUAUAUGUAAUAUGUAUAUUCAGUACUUAUAAGUUGCCACUAGGUCGUUGAGGCAAAUCAUCCGUAAAACAAACAUCAAAUUGAUUCAACUUAUCUUUAUCUUUGUAAUAUGAAUGAUUGACAAUAUCAAUACACUAUUUUCAUAGAAAUUACAGGCCAUGAGACAUAAAGGUAUAACCUUUGCUAACUCUUCAAUUUCGGCAAGCACAACAUCAUGACCAGCAGAGGACAAUGAAUCAUAUAUGUAUUUUUAAAUAUAUUAAAAAAUACAAUUACAUAUCUAAAAAGUGCCACAUAUGUAUUUUCUACGUACCAAAUAAUGAAUAACAAAUACAACUGCAUAUCACAUGCAAAUCUUAGCAGUAACAAAUACAAAUAAAUAUCUAAACGGUGCCAAAUACAUAUCAUAGUCAUGAUGAAUAACAAUACAACUACAUGUCAAAUACAAAUCUUAACAGUAACAAAUACAAAUACAUAUCUAAACGGUAACAAAUACAUUUCAUAUAAUUCCUAAAUACAAAAUACAUACCUUAAAAGUAAAUACAUAUCUUCACAUUAGCAACUACAAUUCAAUAUCUUAACAGUAACUCAAAAUAAGUACACAACUUAUCAAAUAUAUAUAUAAAAUACAUCUAUGAACAUAUUCUCCAUAAACUAUAAAAAUAUAAAAUACCUCCCAUUAAGCGGUCAUUAACAUCUUCCCAGUAUGUAUCAAAAUCCUCCAAAAUCUCAUCACCCAAAUUCUCAUUUUUCUUUGCACCAUUAACCAUUCGCUCAAACUCACCAUUCGUCAGUCUCUCGAGAUCAUCCUAACCACAUGAUUUUAUACCAUUCCCAUUUCUCACAGUUUCAUUCUCUAACACCUCUGAAAUGCCCAUCAUAACAUUAACAUAACUGCAUAUAAUAUUACCCAGUGUUAGGAAAUCCACUUAAAACUCAAAAUAAAAAAAUCACAAAUUAAGCUAAAGAAAGAAAUCACUUUCAACAAAGCAACCACCAAACAGAUAUACCCUUAAUGAAACAUGCACUGACAAGCAAUCAACCAGAAGAAAAUGUUUAAAACAAAUCAAACAUCAAAACAAAAACCCACUUCACAAAAGCCAUCAUUAAACAAGUACCUCUCGUUGUAGUGAAUAUUUUUAACUACUACAAUGUGCAUGUUCUGCCAUUAUCGCGUAACUCCAAAAAUUUUAACACACAAAAAAGAAAAAAAAAAAGAAAAAAAGCAGAAGAAGGUUGAAAAAUGCUGAAAAUAAAUUACAAAAAAGAAGUUAUAUGAAAAAAACAACAUGCAUUGACUGUAAAAUCAACUUACCUUAAUUGAUGGAGAACAAUGUUUUCCCGAAAAUUGAGAGAAAACAGUGGAAUUUGAAAAAGAAAAUAAAGGAAACGUUAUAGUGGAGGGAACUGAAAUAGAGAAAGUGGCAUGAAAAUAGGUAAAGGUAAAAGAAAGGGUGGGCAACACGCGCUUUUAAAUAAAAAUGAUAUACUAUUGCUACUUUUUCUAUAAGUUGUAAUUUUAAGAAAGUGUUGCUAUUAUUUGUAAUUAAUGUCUUAAGUAUGCUAGUUUAUGUAAUUUUUUCUUAAAAUAAUUACAAUCUAUAUAUAAGUUUUCAUCAGUUUAUCCAUAUUUCCCACUCACCCUCUCGCCCAAAAAAACCCCCCCCUGCCUCCCCUCUCUUGUUCUUUUUUUUUUUUUAAUUCAGUUUUUUUAAAUGCAAUUGUGUUUUUUUAAAAAAUAAAUUAAAUCGUUAUUAUUUUUUAAUUCAUACAAAUUAUUAUUAAUCGUAUAUUAUGUUUCAAUUGUAUACUCAUAGACAAUUAUUGUUUGAAUUAUUUCUUUAUUUUUUUUAUUCCAUCGUUAUUUUCUUUUAAUUAAUACAAAUUGUUAUUAAUUGUAUAUUAUGUUUCAAUUGUAUUUUUGUAUACAUUUUUUUAAAAAUUAAGUCGCAAUCUUUUUAAAAUUCAAUCGGGAUUUUUUUAAUUCAAACAAAUUGUUAUUAAUUGUAUAUUAUGUGUCAAUUGUAUAUUUGUAUAUGUAUAAGUUGUAUAUUAAUUCAAUAUUUUCAAUUGUGUAUUGCAUAAUUCAAAUUUAUAUGUGAAUGCAUUUUCAAAUAUAUAUGCAAAUGUAUUUUUGUAUAUGUAUAUUUGAUUUCCCUUUUUAAAAUGUAUAUCUGAAUAUAAUUGUAUAUUAUCAUAGUGAAUAUUGAAUAGGGGAAUUGAAGAAAUGUAUUAUGUGAAUGCAUUUUCAAAUAUGUACGUGAAUGUAUUUUUGUAUAUGUAUAUCUGAUCUCCCUUUUUCAAAUGUAUAUCUGGAUGUAUUUGCAUAUAAUCAGAGUGAAUAUUGAAUAAGUGUAUUAUUGAUUUGUGUAAUUUCAUAGCGUAUAUUGAAUAACUAUAUAUGUGUAUAUAUACAUUUGUAGAAUGCAUUUUGAAUCUAUACAUAUACAUCUUGCAAAAUAUAUUUGUAAAAGAGAGAGAGAAAGAGAAUGAAAACCAGAGAGAGAAGAUAGUGAGAUGGAGGGGGGAUGGAGGGAAGUCAGAGAGAUGGGAGAGAGAAGGAAGAGGGAGGCUAGAAAGAGGGAGAGAAAGAGAGGGAUUUAAGUUAUAUAUAUAUAUAUAUAUAUAUAUUGUAAUUAUGCAAAUUUUUCCCAUAGCCUUAUAAUUUUGGACUAAAAACUACCUAUAUGUGAUGUUUUGCUUUUUUGUAUAUUUGUGAAUUCAUCAUAUAAUUUUGCUUAUUUGUAUAUUUGCGAAUUCAUCAUGUAAAUUAGCCACGGUUAAUUGUGACAAAAGUGCACAGUACAUAACUAUUAGCAACAGUUUUCUCUGCCCUUUAGCCACACGUUAAUUGUGGUAAAUCCCAUAUGUUUUUGAACUUUUGCCAAUUUUUAAUGUAAAUUAAAAAAUAACUAUAUUUAUUAUAAAUUAUUACUUUAUUAUAUAUAUUUAAAAUUAUAAUGAUUGUCAAAACAUUAUCUCCAAUUCCAACGUAAUGUUUGAAACAUUACUGUGAUUAAAAAAAAAUACCAAUACCCUUCCGUUUCUUUUUUAUUUAUUUCAUUCACAUUGGACACAUUGCUUAAUAAAUUUCUUACUAGAGAAAAUAGCCCCCCGCCUCCCAAUCGUUAUCCUAAAUUUCAACUAUAUGCUCAAUCUCCACGGGAGUCCUAGUAUCCCCAAAAUUAUUUUAAAGUGGAAUUAAUUUCAUCCCAAAACGUUAUACCCAGAUUUGAAGUAGGCAAUGCAAUACACGCGUCAAUAUCAUAUUUACACGUGUAUUUUCUGUUUAAAAUUAAUUUUUAUUUACUUUCUUCUCCAUUCAUAUUCUUUUCAUCACUUUUCAUCAUUUUUUUCACCAUUAAAAUACUAUUUAAGAUUCUACUAAUAGCUCAAAAUGCAAAAACGAGCCAAAUUUUUUUAAAAUGUGAUUAAAAAUCUUGUUCUGGUGAUGAAUCUAAACAAAAAUUAUUAAUAUUGUUUGCAACGAUGGCAGUGGCUAAUAGGAUGGUGGUGGUGGGUGAGAUGAGAUCAAUAUUUUAAUUAGUGAAUUGGCUUAGAUUGAAGUUUGGUGAAAGAUUACGUGAUAUAAGCAUUACAAUGUUGUCUUAAAGAUUCUUGAUUUUUUGAUGUUUGAUUCUUAGUUCUUGAAAUUUAGGCAAGAUUUUGGAUGAUUUUAGCUAUGGAAAGAGAGAUGGUUGAUGAUUUGUAUUGGGAGGAAAAUGGAGGAAGGUGGAGAAAUAGUCAAAGAGGUGGCGGUGGCUGUGCAGCGGCAACGGUGGAUUGGUGGUGGAGAGAAUUUGGUUAUGGUAAUGGAAAGAAGAAAGAAAGUAACAAUAAAAAAAUAUAAUAAUAAUUUAAAUAAUAAGGUUGAAAAUUUAUAUGGGGAGGAAAAUAGAGGAAGGUGAAAAAGUAUACAAUUGAUGGAGAUGAUGAUGGCUGCACAACGACAAUGGUGGUGGAGAUUUUUUGGCUAUGAUGAUGGAAAGAAGAAAGAAAUUAAUAAUAAUAAAAUAUAAUAACAAUAAUUUAAAUAAUAUAGAUUGAUGAUUUAUAUGGGGAGAAAAAUGGAGGAAGAUGAAGAAAUGGACAAUUGGUGGACAUGGUGGUGAUUGUGCAGCGGCGUUCGUUGGAUGAUGGUGGAGAAAUUUGGCUAUGAUGGUGGGAAGAAGAAAAAAGUUAAUAAUAAAAAAAUAUAAUAAUAAGUUAGAUAAUAUAUACAUACAUACAUAUAUACAUGCAUACAUACAUAUAUAUAUAUAUNNNNNNNNNNNNNNNNNNNNNNNNNNNNNNNNNNNNNNNNNNNNNNNNNNNNNNNNNNNNNNNNNNNNNNNNNNNNNNNNNNNNNNNNNNNNNNNNNNNNNNNNNNNNNNNNNNNNNNNNNNNNNNNNNNNNNNNNNNNNNNNNNNNNNNNNNNNNNNNNNNNNNNNNNNNNNNNNNNNNNNNNNNNNNNNNNNNNNNNNNNNNNNNNNNNNNNNNNNNNNNNNNNNNNNNNNNNNNNNNNNNNNNNNNNNNNNNNNNNNNNNNNNNNNNNNNNNNNNNNNNNNNNNNNNNNNNNNNNNNNNNNNNNNNNNNNNNNNNNNNNNNNNNNNNNNNNNNNNNNNAUACUUACUUGCAAUUAUUUUAAAGUUGAAAAUAUAAAUUAGAAUUUAUAGAACUCUUAUAUUUCAUAAAGUUAUAUGUAUCAAAUAUAAUGAUAAAUAUAUUAUUAUUAUUAUUAUUAUUGAUAAAUAAAAAUAAUAUAUAUUUUUGGUGUAUAUCUAAAACUUAUCCUUACUUGCAAUUAUCUUAAAGUUUAAAAUAUAAAUUAUAAUUUAAUAAUUAAAUUCAACGUAUAUAUCUACUUGAAAUCCCUUUAUAUAUUUAAGUUGUCAAUUGAUUUUUAUAAAAAAAAAUUAACAAAAAAACAAAAGAAAGAAUGAAAGAUAGAAAAUAAAAGAAAAGAAUUUAAAAAAAAAAAAAAAGUGAAAAAAGGGUAAACUACUAAAAGAUAAUUGAGCGAUUGUUAAGUUUAAAUUAAAAUAAUUAUAAAAUAAAAGUACAUAGAAAAUAGUUAGUUAUCACACUAGAGUGUUCUAAUUGGACUCUUAUUAUUGUUUAACUAAUCAUAUAAGAUGUUCUCUAUUCAAUCAACUUUUUUUGAAUUUCAAUUGGAGAUACAAUAUCUUCUUAAGGAUAAAAUAA